AGGACUUAUAGGCAUGCCAAUAAGUGCAUAAGUAAGGGCCUGGAGGACGUCCUCCCGUCCUCCAGAGGACGUGAUAACGCAUUGCUAUCCUCUCGAGAGGAUAUCGGCCACAGCGCUCGUAUUAUUGGCCAUGGACAGCGCACCACGUGAUUGUACCGGGUACUGUGAAACCAGGCACCGAUCGACUGGACCCGUUGGUGUUUGCUAUACCCAGUAUACGCACGCAUUUUGGUUAAAUUGUCCGAAAUCUGCAAUUUUUGAGGUGAUGAAGAUCGAGCAAUUCACCUUCAGAGUGUGGACAGCUAUUUGGACAAGUCCUGGGCAGUUUUUUCUCAGGGCCAUAAACUUAAAGGAGUACCGGGCAGACUUCGCCUUUGAGGAAAGCAUUCAGAACAUGAAGCUGUGUGCGAACAGUGGAAGUCAUCAAGCACUUGCUUCAACAAGAUUUCUGCACAAGACUUGUUCUCAGGGCAAGUGAGAACAGAUGAGAGCAGGCACCAUUGUAACUAGUCAGCUAUCUUGCCCAACUAGAAGAAGGCUAUUACAUACAUUUUGUACAUUUGUAUAUUUAGUUUUUAUAAAAGUGUUGAUAAGAUAACACAUUUGACAUAUGUAGGUAUGUCAGCUGAUUUUUAGGUAAAAUGACCUACAUGUAACCACUUUCUGGUAAUGUUGAUGGUAUAUUCACUCACACUGUAUACAAUACAUAUUGUAUAUACAAUACAUGUGUAUUAGUUGAAUAUCAUAUCCUUGCACAGAAGCACAGAAGGAACUUCAAGCCUUAUUGCAAUUUCAUACACACUGUUUGCAAGAUAUCAAACAAUGAAAUAGCAAAAUGCAUAAUGAGAGUAAAAUGCAUAAUGAGAGUGGCUGAGCAGGUACCAUUUUAUCAGUCAAUUUAUAAACAUUAAACAAACCUCCUUGGUCAAAAAUCUACUUAUGAUGUCUUUGUGUAUCUUCAUGGUUUGUUCUUCAGCUUCAUCUCAAUGAAUAUCCCUAGUCAUCAAGUAAAUUGACAUAUCAAGCUUUGUAUGCAAUCAUUCCAGUACUUUUAUCUUAAAUAUUGAUGUACAUGUAUAUGUAGUAGGCUUUUUAGAAUAUUGUAAUAGAAAUUGGUAAAGCCUGAAGAGGCUCAGGAAGGGAGCAAUUGCUGACCUAGGCAUUUAUUGAAGGGGGGGGGUAGCUGCGGUGUAUAAAGAAGCAGUAUUAAACCUAUUAAAUGUUGUGUUUUACACA